AGAGUUUGAUCAUGGCUCAGGAUGAACGCUGGCGGCGUGCCUAAUACAUGCAAGUCGAGCGAACAGACGAGGAGCUUGCUCCUUUGACGUUAGCGGCGGACGGGUGAGUAACACGUGGGUAACCUACCUAUAAGACUGGGAUAACUUCGGGAAACCGGAGCUAAUACCGGAUAAUAUUUCGAACCGCAUGGUUCGAUAGUGAAAGAUGGCUCUGCUAUCACUUAUAGAUGGACCUGCGCCGUAUUAGCUAGUUGGUAAGGUAACGGCUUACCAAGGCAACGAUACGUAGCCGACCUGAGAGGGUGAUCGGCCACACUGGAACUGAGACACGGUCCAGACUCCUACGGGAGGCAGCAGUAGGGAAUCUUCCGCAAUGGGCGAAAGCCUGACGGAGCAACGCCGCGUGAGUGAUGAAGGUCUUCGGAUUGUAAAACUCUGUUAUUAGGGAAGAACAAACGUGUAAGUAACUGUGCACGUCUUGACGGUACCUAAUCAGAAAGCCACGGCUAACUACGUGCCAGCAGCCGCGGUAAUACGUAGGUGGCAAGCGUUAUCCGGAAUUAUUGGGCGUAAAGCGCGCGUAGGCGGUUUUUUAAGUCUGAUGUGAAAGCCCACGGCUCAACCGUGGAGGGUCAUUGGAAACUGGAAAACUUGAGUGCAGAAGAGGAAAGUGGAAUUCCAUGUGUAGCGGUGAAAUGCGCAGAGAUAUGGAGGAACACCAGUGGCGAAGGCGACUUUCUGGUCUGUAACUGACGCUGAUGUGCGAAAGCGUGGGGAUCAAACAGGAUUAGAUACCCUGGUAGUCC
rnacentral:rRNA from 1 species